rnacentral:rRNA from 1 species
GACGAACGCUGGCGGCGUGCUUAACACAUGCAAGUCGAACGGAAAGGCCCUGCUUUUGUGGGGUGCUCGAGUGGCGAACGGGUGAGUAACACGUGAGUAACCUGCCCUUGACUUUGGGAUAACUUCAGGAAACUGGGGCUAAUACCGGAUAGGAGCUCCUGCUGCAUGGUGGGGGUUGGAAAGUUUCGGCGGUUGGGGAUGGACUCGCGGCUUAUCAGCUUGUUGGUGGGGUAGUGGCUUACCAAGGCUUUGACGGGUAGCCGGCCUGAGAGGGUGACCGGCCACAAUGGGACUGAGAUACGGCCCAGACUCCUACGGGAGGCAGCAGUGGGGAAUAUUGCACAAUGGGCGGAAGCCUGAUGCAGCAACGCCGCGUGCGGGAUGACGGCCUUCGGGUUGUAAACCGCUUUCGCAUGUGACGAAGCGUGAGUGACGGUAAUGGGUAAAGAAGCACCGGCUAACUACGUG